rnacentral:rRNA from 1 species
UACGGAGGGUGCAAGCGUUAUCCGGAUUUACUGGGUUUAAAGGGUGUGUAGGCGGGCUUUUAAGUCAGUGGUGAAAUCUCCGGGCUCAACCCGGAAACUGCCAUUGAUACUGUUAGUCUUGAAUUUUGUUGAGGUAGGCGGAAUAAGUCAUGUAGCGGUGAAAUGCUUAGAUAUGACUUAGAAUACCAAUUGCGAAGGCAGCUUGCUAAACAAACAUUGACGCUGAGGCACGAAAGCGUGGGGAUCAAACAGG